rnacentral:rRNA from 1 species
AGUGAACGCUGGCGGUAGGCCUAACACAUGCAAGUCGAACGGCAGCACAGUAAGAGCUUGCUCUUACGGGUGGCGAGUGGCGGACGGGUGAGGAAUACAUCGGAAUCUACUUUUUCGUGGGGGAUAACGUAGGGAAACUUACGCUAAUACCGCAUACGACCUACGGGUGAAAGCAGGGGAUCUUCGGACCUUGCGCGAUUGAAUGAGCCGAUGUCGGAUUAGCUAGUUGGCGGGGUAAAGGCCCACCAAGGCGACGAUUCGUAGCUGGUCUGAGAGGAUGAUCGGCGACAUGGGAACUGAGACACGGUCCAGGCUACUACGGGAGGCAGCAGUGGGGAAUAUUGGACAAUAGGCGCAAGCCUGAUCCAGCCAUACCGCGUGUGUGAAGAAGGCCUUCGGGUUGUAAAGCCCUUUUGUUGGGAAAGAAAAGCAGCAGGUUAAUACCACGCUGUUCUGACGGUACCCAGAGAAUAAGCACCGGCUAACUUCGUG